rnacentral:misc_RNA from 1 species
AAGUCGUAACAAGGUUUCCGUAGGUGAACCUGCGGAAGGAUCAUUAACACGAUCCAACGUUAGUGCGCUCGCACUUUCUUAGAAAAGGUAACAAUCCCUGGUAAAUCAUUGCCGAACAGUUUUGAUUCAGGGACUUCUGCGUAGACUGUGCUUGAGCGUGAGGCAAGUGGCCUGGCAUUCCUCUGCUUGUUGGUGUCUGAAAGUGUCACCAGCUCUGUACGAAUGGCGCAGUCACGAUCGCUAGAGGCCGACACGGCCGGCGACCGGGUCACUGGGCGCGAGCCCCCCUCGUCACCUUUGCAUGAAAACGGGCCUGCGCUUAAUUGUGCGGCCACCAAACUCGAACAACUGUUAACAAUGGAUAUCUUGGUUCUC